rnacentral:siRNA from 1 species
AGGCAUAAUCAGUGUCGUGCCUA